CGUCAACACCUCAUGGACGUAAAUGCAGCCCGUUUUCACUGUCUGUGUCCCUCCAUGCCUUCAUCGUCAUUCAUGUUUGAACAGCAAGUAGGGGGAAAAUAUCCUGAAAACUGUUCCACCCAACCCAAGGGCUGGACGUUUUCUUCAGUGGUUCUCAACCACAGGAAAUUUUGCCCCCAGGGUACCAGUUGAUCUCUGGGGACAGUUUUGAUUGACACAGGGAGGGUGUGUUGUCACAGGCCCAGUGUGUUGAGUGGGGCUGCUGCCGGAUGGACAUCCUAACACACAAGGGACAGCCCUCCCUGCACAGAAGAGUCUGGCCCAGGGCCAAAAGUGCUGGGAUGAGAAGCCCCCCUUAGAGGGACACGAUUGUGGCUGGUGGUGAGUAGAAAGCACCACGCUUGCUGCUAAACCAGUCUGAACUGGUCUCUUGGCCCUGGCCGGGAUUGGCGGGUAGAACCCACUGAUUCUCCCUCCUCCACAGAGAGGCCAGUGUGGAGCCCCUGGUCCUGCGGGGAUGAGCUGGCUCCAGGCCUGCCUUUGCCGCUCACUUCACCCACCUGAGGAAGCCACCUGAUCCCACGGCCUCCUCGUCCUUGCACUCGGAUGAUGGAGUCACUCACCCCCCAGCCAGCAAGGAAGGACAGACAAACAGCUUCUCCCCAGAGAAGUCGCUGGGGCCAGCUGUGGAGGACCAGGUGUCAGCUCUGCCCCUCAGCCCAGCUGUGGGCAGCACCAGGCUGAGUGUGAGGGUGUUGAUCCUGCCCCUGAUUGACUUCUUGGUUUUAGAGAGAGAAGAAGCUUCAUGCCAGGGAAUCCCGGGAAGCUCCUCCUCCUGCCCAACCAGUGGGGUCCUUUGGCAAGUCACCCCCACCAGCAGCCUCCGGGCUCCCUCAGCCUCACACCUUCACCUGGCUGCGAGGGGCCCUUCACCCCAUGACUCAGUGCUUCCACACUGCAGUCCAUCCUGCUGUGCCUCCACGGGCCGCCGCAUGCGCUUGCCACUUGGGCUUUGUCUGAUCGGACUUGCACCCAAAUUAAGUAAACAGGAAAUUUUAUAUUUGAUGGUAAGUGAAAAACCAGUUUUGCUAGUGUAAAGAGCAGGCAAGCGUGAACAGAGACUCCAAACAGAGAGGCCAUGGUAGUUGUGGGUAGAUAAGGCCGCCUGCCAGAGGCCCCGGUGGCAAAGCCACUAGCUCCAGAGGGGCACUUCCUCCUGGACGUCAGGAUAUGGAAGACACAUCAGAAAGAGAAGACCUCUCUUACACGCAACUCUGUGUUGUUUAAAACCAUUUCCUGUGCCACCACAAGCCCAUGGAUUUAUAAACAGGAAGCCGAAAGGGAGGGAAACUGGAACCCCUGUGCGGGAGCAGAUGGGGGCCCUUUUCCUUCAAGGGAAAAGAGAGGGGAUGGAGACUAAAACGGAACUCCUCCCCUUAUGGAGAUUGUAACAGUUGUUAUCUGUGAUGCUUUUUAUCUUGGUUGGGCCUCAGAGCCCAACCCAUCACUCUGGAUAUGCACGGGAGGUUUCUUAAAAGGCCAGUUACACUGAAUAAACACACGCCAGCCGGGGUUUCCAACUGGCUAGCUCCUCCUUUCUCUGAGUGGUAGCUGUCCUCACCGAGGAACGGAACGUGGACCCAGGCUGCCCCAGGUGAGGGGCAGGGGCCGGGACCCAUGUGCAUCUGCUACUCGCACCUCUCCUGUCUGUCCCCACGUGCACCCAGAGGUGCUGUCAGCAGGGCUGGCUGGCCUGCCUUCUUCCUCCUUAACUAGUCGGGGAGGGUCUAGAGGCCAGAGGCACUGACCCGAGGAGCACUAGCUCCGACUGCUGAGCGGUCCUGGGUGCGCACCACGCAUGCGCAGUCCUGCUGGCUCUUCACCGGGACCAGGAGGGAGGAGCCACCCACCUUCCUGUUUUACAGGUUCCCUUCCUGGUGUCUGCCCCGGUUUCCCGCACAGCCCGUGCCCCUGCUGCUCUCGGGCUCUCUGCCUUUCCUUUCCCACGGGCUCCUCUCUCCCUUCUCCUGGCCUCAGAGGAUGUGAGCAGGAGAGGCGUGAAGGUCACCCAGGCCGGCUGGUUUUCUCAUGGGGGGAAUUAGCCUGUCCCCCUAGGAGCUCAAAGAAGUGCUGCCCCUGUCAGCAAGGGUCAGCCAAGGGCCCUCUGCUCCAGGGACUGCGCUGAGUCAGAGAAGGCCGGCCCCUGACUGAUACCAGGUUCCUUCAAGAAGAUUCUGUGGCAUUGUAACAGGAUCACACACUCCAUGAAGAUCCGAGAAGUGGGACUCUCUCUCCGGGCGUGGUGUAUAUUCCACCAUCUUUCCACCCGUCUAACUAGCUAUCUUUGUCUUGAUGGUGGCUGUUAUUGAGGAGCUGAUGUUUGCUGGUCUUGAGCAAAUAUGACACCUUUUGGAAUACCCACAAACAGAUAUUUUCUGUGUCCAUCUAAAAGGACCAGAGUCACCUAUAAGAUUAAGACACAUGACUUUGGCCCUGACCAAUUCCCACCCCGUGAUCCCACAUUUCCAACCAAAUGGAGCUGGGCUUCCCUCUGUCUUUAUUAUAUAAUCUACGUACACACUCUAGAA